GGUCCGUUGGGCAAGGGGUUAAGACACCGCCUUUUCACGGCGGUAACACGGGUUCGAAUCCCGUACGGACUA
rnacentral:tRNA from 1 species